UGAAGUAGGUCCCAAGGGUAUGGCUGUUCGCCAUUUAAAGUGGUACGCGAGCUGGGUUUAGAACGUCGUGAGACAGUUCGGUCCCUAUCUGCCGUGGGCGCUGGAGAACUGAGGGGGGCUGCUCCUAGUACGAGAGGACCGGAGUGGACGCAUCACUGGUGUUCGGGUUGUCAUGCCAAUGGCACUGCCCGGUAGCUAAAUGCGGAAGAGAUAAGUGCUGAAAGCAUCUAAGCACGAAACUUGCCCCGAGAUGAGUUCUCCCUGACUCCUUGAGAGUCCUGAAGGAACGUUGAAGACGACGACGUUGAUAGGCCGGGUGUGUAAGCGCAGCGAUGCGUUGAGCUAACCGGUACUAAUGAACCGUGAGGCUUAACCUUACAACGCCGAAGCUGUU
rnacentral:rRNA from 1 species